rnacentral:tRNA from 1 species
GCCCAGUCGGUUAAGUGUCAGACUCUUGAUUUCGGCUCAGGUCACGAUCUCCUGGUUUGUGGGUUCGAGCCCCACAUUGGGCU